rnacentral:lncRNA from 1 species
AGACUUGAGGGUUAGGUUGUGGUUGAGCUGGUAGCUUACCCUUCUCUUGAGCACUUAAAGCAGUGGUCAGCGUUGUCAGUUGAUUUCUUAAUUCAUCAUUGAUUUUAGUUUGACCUUGCAUGAAAGAUUGCAAAGUUUCUUCGAGACUGGAUUUUUGAGGGGGUGCAUGUGCAUAAUGAGGGUGCGGAGGUGGAGGAGUUGGGUUAUAUACUUGUUGAGGUUGGUCAUUCCU